rnacentral:rRNA from 1 species
AAUCAACGCUGGCGGCGUGCCUAACACAUGCAAGUCGAACGCGAAAGCCCCGCAAGGGGUCAGUAGCGUGGCAAACGGGUGAGUAACGCGUGGGUGACCUGCCUUCGAGUGGGGGAUAACGUUCCGAAAGGGACGAUAAUACCGCAUGACAUCCUGCCUUUGAAGAGGUGGAGAUCAAAGCUGGGUCGCAAGACCUGGCGCUUGGAGAGGGACCCGCGUCCGAUUAGCUAGUUGGUGGGGUAACGGCCUACCAAGGCGACGAUCGGUAGCCGGCCUGAGAGGGCGGACGGCCACACUGGGACUGAGACACGGCCCAGACUCCUACGGGUGGCAG